GACGAACCGUGCGAACGUUGUUCGGAAUCACUGGGCUUAAAGGGCGCGUAGGCGGCUUGCCAAGUCCGGGGUGAAAGCCUCCAGCUCAACUGGAGAAGUGGCUUGGAUACUGGCGAGCUCGAGCGAGGUAGGGGCGGGUGGAACUUCCGGUGGAGCGGUGAAAUGCGUUGAUAUCGGAAGGAACGCCGGUGGCGAAAGCGACCCGCUGGACCUCUUCUGACGCUGAGGCGCGAAAGCUAGGGGAGCGAACGGG
rnacentral:rRNA from 1 species